AGAGUUUGAUCAUGGCUCAGGAUGAACGCUGGCGGCGUGCCUAACACAUGCAAGUCGUACGAGCUCGAUCUUCGGAACGGGUUAGUGGCGCACGGGUGAGUAACACGUAGGUGACCUACCCCAGAGUGGGGGAUAACUUCUCGAAAGAGAGGCUAAUACCGCAUACACUCGGUCAUUCAUUUGGCCGAGCAAAGCUCCGGCGCUUUGGGACGGGCCUGCGUCCGAUUAGCUAGUUGGUAGGGUAAUGGCUUACCAAGGCUUUGAUCGGUAGCUGGUCUGAGAGGACGAUCAGCCACACUGGCACUGACACACGGGCCAGACUCCUACGGGAGGCAGCAGUGAGGAAUAUUGGGCAAUGGGCGAAAGCCUGACCCAGCAACGCCGCGUGAGGGAUGAAGGCCUUCGGGUUGUAAACCUCUUUUCUGGGAGAAGAGACAAGGACGGUAUCCCAGGAAUAAGUCUCGGCUAACUACGUGCCAGCAGCCGCGGUAAUACGUAGGAGGCAAGCGUUAUCCGGAUUCACUGGGCGUAAAGCGCACGCAGGCGGUUAUGUAAGUCGGACGUGAAAGCUCCUGGCUCAACUGGGAGAGGUCGUUCGAUACUGCAUAGCUUGAGGUUGGGAGAGGGAAGCGGAAUUCCCGGUGUAGUGGUGGAAUGCGUAGAUAUCGGGAGGAACACCAGUGGCGAAAGCGGCUUCCUGGCCCAUACCUGACGCUCAGGUGCGAAAGCGUGGGGAGCGAACGGGAUUAGAUACCCCGGUAGUCCACGCUGUAAACGAUGCGAACUAGGUGUUGGUAGUAUUAAUCCUAUCAGUGCCGUAGCUAACGCGAUAAGUUCGCCGCCUGGGGACUACGGCCGCAAGGCUAAAACUCAAAGGAAUUGACGG
rnacentral:rRNA from 1 species